GGUCCUAUGUGACGUAAAACGAGCGCGACGGACUGGCCCUCCUGUUUCUCGCUCACACAGAGUCUUGUUGAAGUAAACCUCUGCGUGAAAAGGCUGCGGAUCAAGUGGGGAGAAAGAGCCGAGGAUGGAGAGUGGUACCGGAUCUAUAGACAAGCCCAAAUAUUGACGCAGGGGCCACUACAACUCACCUGUCCGUUUGGAUAGCUGGCCAUGGCGGUUAUGACGUCACACAACUGUGGUAGGCGGAGUUUCCUGCUCCCAAUGCCGCUCCUGGUUGGAUUUUGGGGCGGGUCCGAUUGUGAUUGGACGGACAGGCUGUCAAUCUUCCGGUCAACAAACGGAAGUCACAGGCGGUGAGCUGGUACCUUACAGAGGGCUGGGUAGGAGUGUCCGGAAGUGUUGUUGACCGUAGUGGCUCGUUUGUUUUUAUUUUUCGUGACCUGCAGCGGACCUCGGGCCUGGCCAGCUGUAGUUAUCUAAUGGGGAGACUUGGUCAGUUGUUUCUGUGGUGGCCAUAUUAUAACCUGGCAAGGCCAUAUUAUAACCUGACGCAUAUUAGUU
rnacentral:lncRNA from 1 species